rnacentral:rRNA from 1 species
GACGAACGCUGGCGGCGCGCUUAACACAUGCAAGUCGAACGGAAAGGCCUGCUUUCCCUUGUGGAUUGCGGGUACUCGAGUGGCGAACGGGUGAGUAACACGUGAGUGAUCUGCCCCCAACUUGGGUAUAAGCCUGGGAAACUGGGUCUAAUUCCCGAUAGGGCUGCAGGGUGGUGCCUGUGGUGGAAAACGAUUUUCUAGUGGUUGGGGAUGAGCUCGCGGCCUAUCAGCUUGUUGGUGGGGUAAUGGCCUACCAAGGCGGCGACGGGUAGCCGGCCUGGGAGGGUGGACGGCCACAUUGGGACUGAGAUACGGCCCAGACUGCUACGGGAGGCAGCAGUGGGGAAUAUAGCACAAUGGGCGGAAGCCUGAUGCAGCGACGCCGCGUGGGGGAUGACGGCCUUCGGGUUGUAAACUCCUUUCGACCGAGAGGAAGCCACCUGGUUGGAAGGGUGGUGACGGUAGUGGUAGAAGAAGCACCGGCUAACUACGUG